rnacentral:RNase_P_RNA from 1 species
GGAGUGGGCUAAGCGGUCGCUCUGAGUUUCACGACUUGGAGAGGAAAGUCCGGGCUCCAUAGAGCGCGGUGGUGGGUAACGCCCACCGUCCGUAAGGACAGGGAAAGUGCCACAGAAAAGAUACCGCCGACCUGCUUCGGUAGGUCGGUAAGGGUGAAAUGGUGCGGUAAGAGCGCACCGCGGCGAGGGUGACCCCGUCGGCAAGGCAAACCCCACCGGGAGCAAGGCCAAAUAAGAGAGCAGGACCGGCUCGGUCUGCGAUGACUCUCGGGUAGGCCGCACCGAGGCGGCUCGGCAACGACCGCCCCAGAGAAAUGACCGUUCACGACAGAACCCGGCUUAUCGGCCCGCUCCGCUA